UGGGGAAUUUUGGACAAUGGGGGCAACCCUGAUCCAGCCAUCCCGCGUGUGCGAUGAAGGCCUUCGGGUUGUAAAGCACUUUUGGCAGGGAAGAAAAGGCGCGGGCUAAUACCCGGCGCCGCUGACGGUACCUGCAGAAUAAGCACCGGCUAACUACGUGCCAGCAGCCGCGGUAAUACGUAGGGUGAAAGCGUUAAUCGGAAUUACUGGGCGUAAAGCGUGCGCAGGCGGUUCGGCAAGAAGGAUGUGAAAUCCCGGGGCUUAACCUCGGAACUGCAUUCUUAACUGCCGGGCUAGAGUAUGUCAGAGGGGGGUAGAAUUCCACGUGUAGCAGUGAAAUGCGUAGAGAUGUGGAGGAAUACCGAUGGCGAAGGCAGCCCCCUGGUGAUGAUACUGACGCUCAUGCACGAAAGCGUGGGGAGCAAACAGGAUUAGAUACCCUGGUAGUCCACGCCCUAAACGAUGUCCAACUAGCUGUUGGGGUCCUUCGGGCCUUCAGUAGCGCAGCUAAACGCGUAGUAGUUGACUGCCUGGGGAGUACGG
rnacentral:rRNA from 1 species